CUACGUAGCUCAGAGUUUGUAUCCUGGCGUCAGGACGAACGCUGGCGGCGUGCUUAACACAUGCAAGUCGAGCGGGGAUUAGUGAGGUGCUUGCACCGAUCUAAUUCUAGCGGCGGACGGGUGAGUAACGCGUGAGCAAUCUGUCCUACACAGGGGGAUAACAACUGGAAACAGUUGCUAAUACCGCAUAAGACCACGGCAUCGCAUGUUGCUGAGGUAAAAGAUUUAUCGGUGUAGGGUGAGCUCGCGUCUGAUUAGCUAGUUGGUGAGGUAACGGCCCACCAAGGCGACGAUCAGUAGCCGACCUGAGAGGGUGAUCGGCCACAUUGGAACUGAGACACGGUCCAG
rnacentral:rRNA from 1 species